rnacentral:misc_RNA from 1 species
AUGCGAUAAGUAAUGUGAAUUGCAGAAUUCAGUGAAUCAUCGAAUCUUUGAACGCACCUUGCGCUCCUUGGUAUUCCGAGGAGCAUGCCUGUUUGAGUGUCAUUAAAUUCUCAAUCUCUACAACUUUGUGUUGUCUAGAUUGGAAGUGGGGGUUUCUUUGUGUGGAAUCUAAUUCCUCACUCCCCUUAAAUGUAUUAGCUGGAAUGCCUCUGCAUAUCUGACUAUCAGUGUGAUAAUUAUCUAUGCUGUAGUUGUUGCGUGAGGGUAUCUGCUUCAUUAAUCGUCGAAAGACAAUUCUAUAUGACCAUCUUGACCUCAAAUCAGGUAGGACUACCCGCUGAACUUAA